UACGGAGGUGGCAAGCGUUGCUCGGAUUCACUGGGUGUAAAGGGUAGGUAGGCGGUCCUGUAAGUCGGGUGUGAAAGCCCAUGGCUCAACCAUGGAACUGCGCCCGAAACUGCAAGACUUGAGGACAGCAGAGGUGAAUGGAAUUCCCGGUGUAAGGGUGAAAUCUGUAGAGAUCGGGAGGAACACCAGUGGCGAAGGCGAUUCACUGGGCUGUCCCUGACGCUGAGAUACGAAAGCUAGGGGAGCGAACAGG
rnacentral:rRNA from 1 species